CCUACGGGAGGCAGCAGUGGGGCAUAUUGCACAAUGGGGGAAACCCUGCUGCAGCGCCGCCGCGUGAGUGAAGAAGUAAUUCGUUACGUAAAGCUCUAUCAGCAGGGAAGAAACACUGACCUUACGGUCCGCAGACGGUACCUGAGUCAGAAGCCCCGGCUAACUACGUGCCAGCAGCCGCGGUAAUACGUAGGGGGCAAGCGUUAUCCGGAUUUACUGGGUGUACAUGGAGCGUAGACGGUGCGCCACGUCUGGAGUGAAAUGCCGCAGCUUAACUGCGGAACUGCUUUGGAAACUGGCGAACGAGAGUGCGGGAGGGGUAAGCGGAAUGCGUAGUGUAGCGGGGAAAUGCGUAGAUAGUAGGAGGAACACCGGUGGCGAAGGCGGCUUACUGGACCGUAACUGACGUGGAGGCUCGAAAGCGUGGGGAGCAAACAGGAGUAGAGACCCUGGUAGUC
rnacentral:rRNA from 1 species